rnacentral:rRNA from 1 species
AACGAACGCUGGCGGCAGGCCUAACACAUGCAAGUCGAGCGAGGACUUCGGUUCUAGCGGCGGACGGGUGAGUAACGCGUGGGAAUGUGCCCUUCUCUACGGAAUAGCCCUAGGAAACUGGGAGUAAUACCGUAUACGCCCUAUUGGGGAAAGAUUUAUCGGAGAAGGAUCAGCCCGCGUUGGAUUAGGUAGUUGGUGGGGUAAUGGCCUACCAAGCCGACGAUCCAUAGCUGGUUUGAGAGGAUGAUCAGCCACACUGGGACUGAGACACGGCCCAGACUCCUACGGGAGGCAGCAGUGGGGAAUCUUAGACAAUGGGGGCAACCCUGAUCUAGCCAUGCCGCGUGAGUGAUGAAGGCCUUAGGGUUGUAAAGCUCUUUCAGCUGGGAAGAUAAUGACGGUACCAGCAGAAGAAGCCCCGGCUAACUCCGUG